ensembl:lncRNA
GCUGAUAAGAGGUGAAAAGGCUGAAAAUUUUGCAGAAGAGGUGAAUAAGCAGAAUUUGGGCUGAAAAGAGGUGAAAAUUCUCAAAAUUCUGCUGAAAAGAGUUCAAUCAGCAGAAUUUCUGCUGAAAAGAGUUCUGCAGAACUCUUUUCAGAAUUCUGGUGAAAAGAGGUUUUUGCUGGAAACAGCAGAAAAAGCUGGGAUUUGUGCUGAAAAGUGGUGAAAAAAGUGAAAAUUUUGCUGAAAAGGGGUGAAUAAGCUGAAAUUGAGUUAAAAAAGUUUAACUGUUAACUGAAAGAAAUGUUGCCAUAAGCGGGAUUUGAACCCGGGCCUCCCAGUCUGAGAACGGCUGCUCAUCUCACUGAGCUAAAACACAGCUCAGCCCGGCGAGCAGAAAUAAGUGACCACAUUGAUAAUGUGUUCCAUUCAUUUCAAUGGGCAAAAAUAUUGCAAAAAAAAUUCAAUAUCUCAAAAAGUAUAGACGUUAUGAGCACCAAAAGAUAUAGCACACAUUAGCAGAAAGAGCAGAAUUUUUUAAAGUUUGAACUGAGAAAAUCAGCUGAAAACUGAGGGAGUAGUUAAGCGGCAAAGAAAGUGGCAACUUGAAGAAUAAAGUAUAAAGAACUAGAAAAAUUUGCAUUUCCUGCGAAAAUGCUGUGUGGAUGCCUUAAUGCUGAAGCUGUCUGCUCAAAAACUGAAAAAGAUGAAAAGUUGCAAAAAGUUGUAUGGUGGUGAAAAAAAAAAAUUGCCCUGAGCAGGAUUCGAACCUGGCCCUCUAGGUCUCAAGGCAGCAACUUAUCUCACUGAGCUAAACUCACUCUGACAAAGAGGAGGUGGAGAGACGGACAAUUCUGCUGAAAUGAGCAGAAGCUGCUGAGAAUUGUGCUGAUAAGAGGAGAAAAGGCUGAAAAUUUUGCAGAAAAGAGGUGAAUCAGCAGAAUUUCUGCUGAAAAGAGGUAAAGAAGCAGAAAGUUGCGCUGAAAAGACAUGAAUCAGCAGAAUUUUUUGCUCAAAAGUGUUUUUUCCGAAAACAGCUGAGAUUUGUGCUAAUAAGAGGUGAAAAGGCUGAAAAUUUUGCAGAAGAGGUGAAUAAGCAGAAUUUGGCCUUAAAAGAGGUGAAAAUUCUGCUGAAAAGAGUUCAAUCAGCAGAAUUUCAGAGUUCUGCAGAACUCUUUUCAGAAUUCUGCUGAAAAGAGGUUUUUGCUGAAAACAGCAGAAAAAGCUGGGAUUUGUGCUGAAAAGUGGUGAAAAAACUGAAAAUUUGGCUGAAAAGGGGUGAAAAAGCUGAAAUUGAGUUAAAAAAGUUUAACUGUUAACUGAAAGAAAUGUUGCCAUAAGCGGGAUUCGAACCCGGCCCUCCUGGUCUGUGAACGGCUACUCAUCUCACUGAGCUAAAACAUGGCUCAGCCCGGCAAGCAAAACUGGUGAUCACACUGAUAAUGUGGUCCCUGUCAGCAAAAAGGGCCAAAAAUGGCAUAAAAGUUAAUAUCUCAAAAAGUAUAAAAGUUAUCAUCACCAAAAGAUAUAGCAGUCGAAAGCAGAAAUAGCAGAACAGUUUAGAUUUUGA